GGCGGGGUGCCCGAGCGGUCGAAAGGGGCGGUCUUGAAAACCGCUAGGCCGUGCUGAGCGGUCUCGUGGGUUCGAAUCCCACCCCCGCCG
rnacentral:tRNA from 1 species